UUCCCAACUUUUCUCACUUAAGCCUGGCAGAAAUAAAAGACAGUCACCAGACAGUUUUCCAACUACAAGAUUUAAAUUUUAUGCAAAUAAAUGUGAAAGACUUAUUUAUGUUACCAAUAUGAAUCUAUAAUAGUCCAAUAAUGUCAACUUUGCAUGUGUUAAAUUCUUGUUUGUUUUUAUCUUUCAUUAACUUCAUACGUCUCCGAGUGCUCAUCCUGCCAGUCGAGUUUUCAAGCACUGAAACAGCCAUCAGUGUAUACUCCCAUAAAGAUAAACCAAGAAGUGUACAAACUUCUCAAUAUCAAACGAAGUCUGUGUUCCCCAUACCACCCCCAAACCAAUGGGUUGGUUGAAAAAAAUGAAUGGGACCAUUCAAAGAUUUGAACUGACACUUGAAACAUUACAUUUGUGUUGAGAGAUUGACGGUGGAGGAGUCGGCAGAGGACCUGAAAGCCCAAGAAAGCCUUCGGAGCAUUGUCAGUGAAAGCGUUUCCACAAACGGGAGAAAGCAAAGGGCAGAAACACAACACAACGGUACUAUGUUUAAACCUGGUGACCGAGUGUGGAGGCAGAAAAUACGCAGUCAGCAGAGAAAAGGUGGGAAGUCGGAUGCCG